GAUCAUUACCGAGUGAGGGCCCUUUGGGUCCAACCUCCCACCCGUGUUUAUUUUACUUGGUGGUCUGGGCGGGCCCGCCUUUACUGGCCGCCGGGGGGCUAGCGCCCCCGGGCCCGCGCCCGCCGAAGACACCCCCGAACUCUGUCUGAAGAUUGAAGUCUGAGUGAAAAUAUAAAUUAUUUAAAACUUUCAACAACGGAUCUCUUGGUUCCGGCAUCGAUGAAGAACGCAGCGAAAUGCGAUACGUAAUGUGAAUUGCAAAUUCAGUGAAUCAUCGAGUCUUUGAACGCACAUUGCGCCCCCUGGUAUUCCGGGGGGCAUGCCUGUCCGAGCGUCAUUGCUGCCCUCAAGCCCGGCUUGUGUGUUGGGCCCCGUCCUCCGAUUCCGGGGGACGGGCCCGAAAGGGUGCGGCGGCUUUGCGUCCGGGCCUCCAGCGUAUGGGGCUUUGUCACCCGCUCUGUACGCCCGGCCGGGGCUUGCCGAUCAACCCAAAUUUUUAUCCA
rnacentral:rRNA from 1 species